CCUACGGGAGGCAGCAGUGGGGAAUAUUGGGCAAUGGGCGCAAGCCUGACCCAGCAACGCCGCGUGAAGGAAGAAGGCUUUCGGGUUGUAAACUUCUUUUAAGAGGGAAGAGCAGAAGACGGUACCUCUUGAAUAAGCCCCGGCUAACCACGGGCCAGCAGCCGCGGUAAUACGUAGGUGGCAAGCGGUGUCCGGAUUUACUGGGUGUAAAGGGCGUGUAGGCGGGCUGACAAGUCAGAUGUGAAAUUCCGGGGCUCAACCCCGGACCUGCAUUUGAAACUGUUGGUCUUGAGUAUCGGAGAGGCAGGCGGAAUUCCUAGUGUAGCGGUGAAAUGCGUAGAUAUUAGGAGGAACACCAGUGGCGAAGGCGGCCUGCUGGACGACAACUGACGGUGAGGCACGAAAGCGUGGGGAGCGAACAGGAUUAGAUACCCCAGUAGUC
rnacentral:rRNA from 1 species